GCUGGGUGUGGUAGCGGACACCUGUAGUCCCACCUACUCAGGAGGCUGAAGCAGGAGAAUGGCGUGAACCCGGGAGGCAGAGCUUGCAGUGAGCUGAGAUCGCGCCACUGCACUCCAGCCUGGGCGACAGAGCGAGACUCCAUCUCAAAAAAAAAAAAAAAAAAAAAGGCCAAAAGAUG
rnacentral:sRNA from 1 species